UAGGGAAUCUUCGGCAAUGGGGGGAACCCUGACCGAGCAACGCCGCGUGAGUGAAGAAGGUUUUCGGAUCGUAAAGCUCUGUUGUUAAGGAAGAACGAGUGUGAGAAUGGAAAGUUCAUACUGUGACGGUACUUAACCAGAAAGGGACGGCUAACUACGUGCCAGCAGCCGCGGUAAUACGUAGGUGGCAAGCGUUGUCCGGAUUUAUUGGGCGUAAAGCGAGCGCAGGCGGUCAAUUAAGUCUGAUGUGAAAGCCCCCGGCUCAACCGGGGAGGGUCAUUGGAAACUGGUUGACUUGAGGGCGGAGGAGGAGAGUGGAAUUCCAUGUGUAGCGGUAAAAUGCGUAGAUAUAUGGAGGACCACCAGUGGCGAAGGCGACUCUCUGGUCUGUAACUGACGCUGAGGCUCGAAAGCGUGGGUAGCAAACAGG
rnacentral:rRNA from 1 species